rnacentral:rRNA from 1 species
AAUGAACGCUAGCGGCGUGCUUAACACAUGCAAGUCGUACGAGAACUCUUUAGCUUGCUAAAGAUAGUAAAGUGGCGCACGGGUGAGUAACGCGUGGGUAAUCUACCUCUGAAUUUGGGAUAACUCCGCGAAAGCGGGGCUAAUACCGGAUAAUAUUUCAGGAUCUUCGGGUCUUGAAAUCAAAAGUGGCCUCUACAUGUAAGCUACUGUUUGGAGAUGAGCCCGCGUACCAUUAGCUUGUUGGUAGGGUAAUGGCCUACCAAGGCUACGAUGGUUAGCUGGUCUGAGAGGAUGAUCAGCCACACUGGAACUGACACACGGUCCAGACUCCUACGGGAGGCAGCAGUGGGGAAUUUUGCGCAAUGGGGAAAACCCUGACGCAGCAACGCCGUGUGAGUGAUGAAGGCUUUCGAGUCGUAUAGCUCUGUCAAGUGGGAAGAACAUGAUAAAUGUUAAUAUCAUUUUUCACUGACGGUACCACUAAAGGAAGCACCGGCUAACUCCGUGCCAGCAGCCGCGGUAAUACGGAGGGUGCAAGCGUUAUUCGGAAUUAUUGGGCGUAAAGGGCGCGUAGGCGGUCUUUUCAGUCAGAUGUGAAAGCCCGGGGCUUAACCCCGGAAGUGCAUUUGAAACUAAAGGACUUGAGUAUGGGGGAGGGAAGUGGAAUUCCUGGUGUAGAGGUGAAAUUCGUAGAUAUCAGGAGGAACACCGGUGGCGAAGGCGACUUCCUGGACCAAUACUGACGCUGAGGCGCGAAGGCGUGGGGAGCAAACAGGAUUAGAUACCCUGGUAGUCCACGCAGUAAACGAUGAACACUAGGUGUAGCGGGUAUUGACCCUGCUGUGCCGCAGUUAACGCAUUAAGUGUUCCGCCUGGGAGUACGACCGCAAGGUUAAAACUCAAAGGAAUAGACGGGGACCCGCACAAGCGGUGGAGCAUGUGGCUCAAUUCGAUGCAACACGAAGAACCUUACCAGGGCUUGACAUUCUGGUGGUAGUGAUCUGAAAGGUGAACGACCCUUCGGGGAGCCAGAACAGGUGGUGCAUGGCUGUCGUCAGCUCGUGUCGUAAGAUGUUGGGUUAAGUCCCGCAACGAGCGCAACCCUUAUCCCAUGUUGCUAACAUUAAGUUGAGGACUCUUGGGAGACUGCCGGUGUUAAACCGGAGGAAGGUGAGGAUGACGUCAAGUCAGUAUGCCCUUUAUGUCCUGGGCUGCACACGUGCUACAAUGGUUUAUACAAUGAGAUGCGAGACUGUGAAGUGGAGCAAAUCUCAAAAAGUAAGCCUAAGUUCGGAUUGAAGUCUGAAAUUCGACUUCAUGAAGCCGGAAUCGCUAGUAAUCGCGGAUCAGCUAUACCGCGGUGAAUACGUUCCCGGGUCUUGUACACACCGCCCGUCACACCACGAAAGUUGGGAACACCAGAAGCCAGUGUGCUAACCCGUAAGGGAGGCAGCUGUCGAAGGUGGGCUUGAUGAUUGGGGUG